rnacentral:lncRNA from 1 species
AUAUAAACUCCUUGAAACCAACACAUGGACUUCAAGAAGUGCCUAUGGAAAAAACCUACAAAUAUAACUUAAGGCAACCAUUAGUCCAUAGGGAUUGUCAUCAAUUACCAAAACCACAUACGGAGAAAUAUGCUCUAACAAUUGUCUUCACCAAGUACCUGGUUAUUUUUCCUCAACCCUUCUAUUUCCUAAUUUACGUGUUCAUGAAAUUGAUCGUUACUGUUUGAAGAAUUUGACUGAAGAGUUUCUCAAUUUCCUCAUCUCAAAUUCUUCACAUCACUUGUUCUUCACUGCUUAUCCUGAUCACGCUACUCGUGCUAAGUGUUUGUUUCAUUUCAUCAUGAUGACCACGCUUUUGCAAUGUUACGCUUACGUG